CUUGGAGUAGCUCAGUUGGUUAAAGCAUGUGGCUGUUAACCACAAGGUCGAUGGUUCAAGUCCUUCCUUUAGCG
rfam:Ipomoea nil DNA, scaffold: scaffold0164, cultivar: Tokyo-kokei standard.